UACGUAGGGGGCAAGCGUUGUCCGGAAUCAUUGGGCGUAAAGAGCGUGUAGGCGGCUCGGUAAGUCCGCUGUGAAAGUCCAGGGCUCAACCCUGGAAACUGGCCGGUGGAAACCUGGUCGGGCUAGAGUCCGGAAGGAGGCGAGUGGAAUUCCUGGUGUAGCGGGUGGAAAAUGCGCAGAUAUCAAGGAGGAACACCAAUGGCGAAGGCAGCUCGCUGGGACGGUACUGACGCUGAGACGCGAAGCGUGGGGAGCAAACAGGAUUAGAAACCCGGUGGUAGU
rnacentral:rRNA from 1 species